UACCUAUAAGACUAGUGUUAUUCAUCUUUAAUAGGUUUAAAGGGUACCUAGACGGUAAUAUAUGUCCUUGAGAUACUUAUAUACUAGAGUUAUAUGUAAGAAGGGGAGUAUUUAUGGAGUAAAGAUGAAAUUUGUUGAUACCAUAAGGACUGAUAAAGGCGAAGGCAACCUUUUUAUGUAAUAACUGACGUUUGAGGGACGAAAGGCUCGGGGUAACAAAACAGG
rnacentral:rRNA from 1 species